UACGUAGGGGGCAAGCGUUGUCCGGAAUCAUUGGGCGUAAAGAGCGUGUAGGCGGUCCGGUAAGUCGGCUGUGAAAGCCCACGGCUCAACCGUGGAGGGUCAUUGGAAACUGGGGGACUUGAGUACAGAAGAGAAGAGUGGAAUUCCACGUGUAGCGGUGAAAUGCGUAGAGAUGUGGAGGAACACCAGUGGCGAAGGCGACUCUUUGGUCUGUAACUGACGCUGAGGCGCGAAAGCGUGGGGAGCAAACAGG
rnacentral:rRNA from 1 species